GAUGAACGCUAGCGACAGGCCUAACACAUGCAAGUCGAGGGGCAGCACGGUGUAGCAAUACACGGGUGGCGACCGGCGCACGGGUGAGUAACGCGUAUGCAACCUGCCUACUACAAGGGGAUAACCCGUUGAAAGACGGACUAAUACCCUAUAACACAGGGAAUCCGCAUGGAUAUAUUUGUUAAAGAUUUAUCGGUAGUAGAUGGGCAUGCGUUCCAUUAGCUUGUUGGUGAGGUAACGGCUCACCAAGGCAACGAUGGAUAGGGGAACUGAGAGGUUGAUCCCCCACACUGGAACUGAGACACGGUCCAGACUCCUACGGGAGGCAGCAGUGAGGAAUAUUGGUCAAUGGACGAGAGUCUGAACCAGCCAAGUCGCGUGAAGGAAGACGGCCCUACGGGUUGUAAACUUCUUUUGUAAGGGAAUAAAUAGUCUUACGAGCUAAGACGUUGCAGGUACCUUACGAAUAAGGAUCGGCUAACUCCGUGCCAGCAGCCGCGGUAAUACGGAGGAUCCGAGCGUUAUCCGGAUUUAUUGGGUUUAAAGGGUGCGCAGGCGGCAUGUUAAGUCGGCGGUGAAAUUUUGCAGCUCAACUGUAAAAGAGCCUUCGAAACUGGCAAGCUUGAGUGUGGAUGAAGUAGGCGGAAUUUGUGGUGUAGCGGUGAAAUGCAUAGAUAUCACAAAGAACACCGAUUGCGCAGGCAGCUUACUAAACCAUAACUGACGCUCAUGCACGAAGGCGUGGGGAUCAAACAGGAUUAGAUACCCUGGUAGUCCACGCGGUAAACGAUGAUUGCUAGGUGUAGGGUGGGUAUGGACCCAUCGGUGCCGCAGCUAACGCAAUAAGCAAUCCACCUGGGGAGUACGUUCGCAAGAAUGAAACUCAAAGGAAUUGACGGGGACCCGCACAAGCGGUGGAGCAUGUGGUUUAAUUCGAAGCAACGCGAAGAACCUUACCAAGUCUUGACAUCCCCCUGACGGGCCGGUAACGCGGCCUUUCCUUCGGGACAGGGGAGACAGGUGGUGCAUGGUUGUCGUCAGCUCGUGUCGUGAGAUGUUGGGUUAAGUCCCGCAACGAGCGCAACCCUUAUCCUUAGUAGCCAGCACGUGAAGGUGGGCACUCUAGGGAGACUGCCAGGGAUAACCUGGAGGAAGGUGGGGAUGACGUCAAAUCAUCAUGCCCCUUAUGAUUUGGGCUACACACGUGCUACAAUGGCGUAAACAAAGGGAAGCGAGACAGUGAUGUGGAGCAAAUCCCAAAAAUAACGUCCCAGUUCGGACUGUAGUCUGCAACCCGACUACACGAAGCUGGAAUCGCUAGUAAUCGCGAAUCAGAAUGUCGCGGUGAAUACGUUCCCGGGUCUUGUACACACCGCCCGUCACACCAUGGGAGUCAGCAACGCCCGAAGUCAGUGACCCAACCGAAAGGAGGGAGCUGCCGAAGGCAGGUCUAAUAACUGGGGUG
rnacentral:rRNA from 1 species